rnacentral:rRNA from 1 species
GAAUAUUGGUCAAUGGGCGUAAGCCUGAACCAGCCAAGUAGCGUGAGGGAAGGCUGCCCUAUGGGUUAUAAACCUCUUUUGUGCGGGGAUAAAGUGUGGGACGUGUCCCAUAUUGCAGGUACCGCACGAAUAAGGACCGGCUAAUUCCGUGCCAGCAGCCGCGGUAAUACGGAAGGUCCGGGCGUUAUCCGGAUUUAUUGGGUUUAAAGGGAGCGCAGGCCGUCCUUUAAGCGUGCUGUGAAAUGCCGCGGCUCAACCGUGGCACUGCAGCGCGAACUGGAGAACUUGAGUACGCACGAGGUAGGCGGAAUUCGUGGUGUAGCGGUGAAAUGCUUAGAUAUCACGAAGAACUCCGAUUGCGAAGGCAGCUUACCGGAGCGCAACUGACGCUGAGGCUCGAAAGCGCGGGUAUCGAACAGGAUUAGAUACCCUGGUAGUCCGCGCGGUAAACGAUGGAUGCCCGCCGUUGGGAUUUGGAUUUCAAGCGGCAAGCGAAAGCGUUAAGCAUCCCACCUGGGGAGUUACGCCGGCAACGGUGAAACUCAAAGGAAUUGACGGGGGCCCGCACAAGCGGAGGAACAUGUGGUUU